UGACAUGAGUGCUGGGAAA
rnacentral:piRNA from 1 species